CCCUUAGAUGUUCUGGGCCGCACGCGCGCUACACUGAUGCAUUCAACGAGUCUAAAACCUGGUCUGAUAGGGCUGGGUAAUCUUUUGAAUGUGCAUCGUGAUUGGGAUAGAUGAUUGCAAUUCUUCAUCUUCAACGAGGAAUGCCUAGUAAACGCAAGUCAUCAGCUUGCAUUGAUUACGUCCCUGCCCUUUGUACACACCGCCCGUCGCUCCUACCGAUUGAAUGUUCCGAUGAAUACCAUGGACUGAGAGUAUGAAUGGGUUCGCCUAUUUCUGCUUCUCGGGAAGUGGAGUAAAUCUGAACAUUUAGAGGAAGGAGAAGUCGUAACA
rnacentral:rRNA from 1 species